rnacentral:rRNA from 1 species
CUACGGGGUGCAGCAGUGGGGAAUAUUGGACAAUGGGGGAAACCCUGAUCCAGCAAUGCCGCGUGUGUGAAGAAGGCCUGCGGGUUGUAAAGCACUUUCGGUUGGGAGGACUGCUUCUAGCACUAAUAUUGUUGGAAGUUGACGUUACCUUCAGAAGAAGCACCGGCUAACUCCGUGCCAGCAGCGCGCGGUAAUACGGAGGGUGCAAGCGUUAAUCGGAAUUACUGGGCGUAAAGCGCGCGUAGGCGGCUAGAUCAGUCGGGUGUGAAAGCCCCGGGCGUAACCUGGGAACUGCAUCCGAUACUGUCUAGAUUGAGUACAGGAGAGGAGAGUGGAAUUCCACAUGUAGCGGUGAAAUGCGUAGAUAUGUGGAGGAACACCAAUGGCGAAGGCAGCUCUCUGGCCUGAUACUGACGCUGAGGUGCGAAAGCGUGGGGAGCAAACAGGAUUAGAUACCCGUGUAGUC